rnacentral:rRNA from 1 species
AGUGAACGCUGGCGGUAGGCCUAACACAUGCAAGUCGAACGGCAGCACAGUAAGAGCUUGCUCUUACGGGUGGCGAGUGGCGGACGGGUGAGGAAUACAUCGGAAUCUACUUUUUCGUGGGGGAUAACGAAGGGAAACUUACGCUAAUACCCCUUACGCCCUCCGGUUGAAAGCAGGGGUCCUUCGGCCUUUCCGCGAUUGAUUGACCGGAUGUCGGAUUAGCUAGUUGGCGGGGUAAAGGCCCACCAAGGCGACGAUCCGUAACUGGUCUGAGAGGAUGAUCAGCCACACUGGAACUGAGACACGGUCCAGACUCCUACGGGAGGCAGCAGUGGGGAAUAUUGGACAAUGGGCGCAAGCCUGAUCCAGCCAUACCGCGUGGGUGAAGAAGGCCUUCGGGUUGUAAAGCCCUUUUGUUGGGAAAGAAAAGCAGCAGGUUAAUACCCCGCUGUUCUGACGGUACCCAAAGAAUAAGCACCGGCUAACUUCGUG